rnacentral:rRNA from 1 species
UACAGAGGUCUCAAGCGUUGUUCGGAUUCAUUGGGCGUAAAGGGUGCGUAGGCGGCGCGGUAGGUCGGGUGUGAAAUCUCGGAGCUUAACUCCGAAACUGCAUUCGAUACUGCCGUGCUUGAGGACUGGAGAGGAGACUGGAAUUUACGGUGUAGCGGUGAAAUGCGUAGAUAUCGGAAGGAAGACCAGUGGCGAAGGCGGGUCUCUGGACAGUUCCUGACGCUGAGGCACGAAGGUCAGGGGAGCAAACGGG